CCUACGGGUGGCAGCAGUGAGGAAUAUUGGUCAAUGGGCGCGAGCCUGAACCAGCCAAGUAGCGUGAAGGAUGACUGCCCUACGGGUUGUAAACUUCUUUUAUAAAGGAAUAAAGUGAGGAACGCGUGCCUUUUUGUAUGUACUUUAUGAAUAAGGAUCGGCUAACUCCGUGCCCGCAGCCGCGGUAAUACGGAGGAUCCGAGCGUUAUCCGGAUUUAUUGGGUUUAAAGGGAGCGCAGGCGGCCGGUUAAGUCAGCGGUAAAAGCCCGGGGCUCAACCCCGUCGAGCCGUUGAACCUGGCUGGCUUGAGUGGGAGAGAAGUACGCGGAAUGCGUGGUGUAGCGGUGAAAUGCUUAGAUAUCGCGCAGAACCCCGAUUGCGAAGGCAGCGUACCGGCUCCACACUGACGCUGAGGCACGAAAGCGUGGGUAUCGAACAGGAUUAGAUACCCUUGUAGUC
rnacentral:rRNA from 1 species